rnacentral:rRNA from 1 species
AGCGAACGCUGGCGGCAGGCCUAACACAUGCAAGUCGAACGAACCUUUCGGGGUUUGUGGCGGACGGGUGAGUAACACGUGGGAACGUGCCUUUAGGUUCGGAAUAACUCAGGGAAACUUGUGCUAAUACCGAACGUGCCCUUCGGGGGAAAGAUUUAUCGCCGUUAGAGCGGCCCGCGUCUGAUUAGCUAGUUGGUUGAGGUAAUGGCUCACCAAGGCGACGAUCAGUAGAUGGUCUGAGAGGAUGAUCAGCCACAUUGGGACUGGGACACGGCCGAAACUCCUACGGGAGGGGGCAGAGGGGAAUCUUGCGCAAUGGGCGGAAGGCUGACGCAGCCAGGCCGCGUGAAUGAUGAAGGUCGUAGGAUAGUAAAGUUCUUUCACCGGGGACGAUAAUGACGGUACCCGGAGAAGAAGCCCCGGCUAACUUCGUG